rnacentral:rRNA from 1 species
GCAGCCGCGGUAAUACGUAGGGGGCGAGCGUUGUCCGGAAUGACUGGGCGUAAAGGGCGUGUAGGCGGCCUGUUAAGUUAGGAGUGAAAGUCCCGCUUUCAAGGUGGGAAUUGCUUUUAAUACUGAUGGGCUUGAGUGCAGAAGAGGUAAGUGGAAUUCCCAGUGUAGCGGUGAAAUGCGUAGAGAUUGGGAGGAACACCAGUGGCGAAGGCGACUUACUGGGCUGUAACUGACGCUGAGGCGCGAAAGCGUGGGGAGCGAACAGGAUUAGAUACCCC